UACGUAGGGGGCGAGCGUUACCCGGAUUUACUGGGCGUAAAGGGGGCGUAGGUGGCCGUGUAAGUCCGAUGUGAAAAGCCACGGCUCAACCGUGGACCUGCGCUGGAAACUACAUGGCUUGAGGACGGUAGAGGGAGACGGAACUGCUGGUGUAGGGGUGAAAUCCGUAGAUAUCAGCAGGAACGCCGGUGGGGAAGCCGGUCUCCUGGGCCGUUCCUGACGCUGAGGCCCGAAAGCUAGGGGAGCAAACCGG
rnacentral:rRNA from 1 species